rnacentral:rRNA from 1 species
AGAGUUUGAUCAUGGCUCAGGGUUAACGCUGGCGGCGCGCAUAACACAUGCAAGUCGAGCGAGGGCUCUUCUCCCGCAAGGGAGGGGAGUUCCUAGCGGCGAACGGGUGAGUAACACGUGAGCAACCUGUCCCGUAGCGGGGGAUAACACCGGGAAACCGGUGCUAAUACCGCAUGUCAUCGCUGAUCGCAUGGUCGGUGAGAAAAGCAGCAAUGCACUACGGGGUGGGCUCGCGGCCUAUCAGCUAGUAGGUGGGGUAACGGCCUACCUAGGCUUUGACGGGUAGCUGGUCUGAGAGGACGACCAGCCACACGGGGACUGAGAAACGGCCCAGACUCCUACGGGAGGCAGCAGUGAGGAAUUUUCCGCAAUGGACGAAAGUCUGACGGAGCGACGCCGCGUGUGGGAAGAAGGCCUUCGGGUCGUAAACCACUGUCGAAGGGGACGAUAAUGACGGUACCCUUGGAGGAAGCCCCGGCUAACUACGUGCCAGCCGCCGCGGUAAUAC